UUCUCUUCUUCUUCUUCUCUUCUUCUGCUUCUUCGUCUUCUUCUUCUUUAAUAAGGCAAUAGAUCUGCCUUUUUUUUUUUAGAUUUUAUUAUUUAUUUCAUGAGAGUACAACAGAGAGAGAGAGAGGCGGGGACACAGGCAGAGGGAGAAGCAGGCCCAUGACACUGUCUUCUUCUUUUUCUUCUUCUUCUUCUUCUCUUCUUCUUCUCUUUAUUCUUCUUUCUUCUUCUUCUUCUUUAAUAAGGCAAUAGCUCUGCCUUUUUUUUUUAAGAUUUUAUUUAUUUAUUCAUGAGAGUACACAGAGAGAGAGAGAGGCGGGGACACAGGCAGAGGGAGAAGCAGGCUCCAUGACACUGUCUUCUUCUUCUUUCUUCUUCUUCUUCUUCUUCUUCUUCUCUUCUUCUUCUUCUUCUUCUUCUUCUUCUUCUUCUUCUUCUUCUUUAAUAAGGCAAUAGCUCUGCCUUUUUUUUUUUAAGAUUUUAUUUAUUUAUUCAUGAGAGUACACAGAGAGAGAGAGAGGCGGGGACACAGGCAGAGGGAGAAGCAGGCUCCAUGACACUGUCUUCUUCUUCUUUCUCUUCUCUUCUUCUUCUUCUCUUCUCUUCUCUUCUUCUUCUUCUUCUUCUUCUCUUCUUCUUCUUUUUAAUAAGGCAAUAGCUCUGCCUUUUUUUUUUUUUAAGAUUUUAUUUAUUUAUUCAUGAGAGUACACAGAGAGAGAGAGAGGCGGAGACACAGGCAGAGGGAGAAGCAGGCCCCAUGCAGGGAGCCCGAUGUGGGACUCGAUCCCGGGACUCCAGGAUCGCGCCCCGGGGCCGAAGACAGGCGCUAAACCGCUGAGCCACCCAGGGAUCCCCUUCUAUUAAAAUUUUGUGUAGCAAUCUAACAGAUUAGGGUACGUCGCUACAGCCCUGGAGGGAUCUGGAGGCGGGCAGAGCCAGGUCUCCGCCGUGAGCACGGGGGCCGCCCGCAGAGAGCCUGGAAGAGCCGCGUUCCGGGGACCCUGCGCAGGCCGGGGACGUGGGCGGGUACGCAGCUCCCAACCGCGCAGGCAGCAAGGGUCCGAGCUGCGCCGAGCGGCGCGCACCAGGCCGUCCAGGAGCCCCACCCCCUGCGACCUCGCAGCACCCCCUCCCCCACCGCGGGAAGGGCUCCGCACGCCGCGGGCCAGAACUCUCGGGCGCAGGCGCAGAGCCGCGCCGCCCACGCCCCCGCCGGCGCCCCAGUCCUGCCGCAGGUCUGCGCGGGGAGGACGAGGCCGGGCCCCACCGAGCGCGCGAGGAGCCGCUGCUGCCCGGGCCGCCUGGGUGAGCGGCAUUAACAGAAGCUUUGUGAGAAGAGUAAGGACUGAGGUAUGCCAUCUUACAGUGUGGACCAGACUUUCAGAAAGGUGAGUAGACUUGCCCAGGGAUGCCCAGCCUUAUGUGGAGCAGUGUGAGCUGCCUUCCGCUUUGAUCCUCAGGAGUAAUUAAGAGACUGCUGUCAUACUCUGCUUGAACUCCUAUCCCAUGUGAGGAAAUUCAUAAAGAGCCUGGAUUUUGGCCUCAGAUCACCUAGGGAGUUUAGGGAGGGUUUAGACUUGGUCCAGAUCCAUCCCUUUUACUUUUUAUCAUUAAAGAACUAGGGACUUUGGGUCACACAUCAAUGUCUAUGGGAGGAGGUAGGCUUGCUUUUAGGCAUUUGUUUUACCUCAACCCUUACAGUUGCAUUCAGUUGGCCAGAUGUGGACAUUACCAGACCAGUGAUUCUGGCUGCCUGGGAUACGGCCUUUGCUAGCUUUGCCUUUGACCCAAAAGAAAACCAAGAGGAGGCAGAAGAGGUAAAGGCAAUUGUCAUCUUACUAGAAGAGCUAUGUCCCAUGUAAGUAAAGGAUUCUUCCUUCUUUUCUGAGGGUGUCAUUUCACCAAGCAGGCGAUACAUUUAUAUCUCUUUUCGUAGAACUUCCCUUGGGUGAGUCUGCCACAUUUUGCCCAGGAUGGGACUAUUCCUUGUUUGUCUGCUGACUUAUUACCCUUAAUGUCUUCCUCCUUUUCUCAAUUUCAUCAUUAGGUGAUGAUGAAACACCUUACUGGCCUGUUUCUUAAAUGGUUUUAUCUGAAACAUGGACCUUAGGAUCUCACAUGUCUCUGGUGAUUUGAAAAAGACAAGGUUCACAUUAGUCUAAUCCCCUUAGUCUAAGCACACAUGUAUGUGCCUUAGUAUUUGGGACCUAAAACUAAACUCCAGGAAUCAGAAAGCUUUGUACCAAACAAUCAAGUCCAACAUCUUCAUUGGACGGAUGAAACAUAAAUAGAUUGAUUAUUUUCCCCUGGUUUUUAUAUAGCUAUCAACAGAACUACGAUCAAAAUCCAGAUUACCGAGGCACCUGGGUGGCACAGUCAGUUAAGCAUCCAACUCUUGGUUUCAGCUCAGAUCAUGAUUUCAAGGUUGUGGGAUCAAACUCAUUGGGUUCUGUGCUUAGAGUAGACUGCAGAGAUUCUCUCUCUGCCUCUCCCUCUGCCCUCUCCACUCAAAUGAAUAAAUAGAUUUUUUUUUAAGUCCAGAUUACCUGGUAAAUGCUUACAUCACAGGACCUCUAUCUAAUGUUUCACUGCAUCGUGCCAGCGGUGCCACCUGCACUGAGGUGACCCGAAAAUUUAAUGCUCAGGUUAUAUAGAUAGGGCUUUUGCAUGACUGGGACUCACUGUAGCCUCUCAGGGCAGUCACCUUUCAGAGGCAGGCACUCUCUAAACCCCCAUGGUGUUCUGUGGUUACGGUCAUGCUGGUACCCUGGGAUCGGUGGAGGUUAAUUUCUUGGCCAUUUAGGGGCCACAGGAGUGGAGAGUGCAACUCAAGUGUUGUUCUCUAGUGAGUUUGAGUCCAGUAUUUAACACUUAGCUUUGGGCCAAAUUACUUAACCUCUUCAUUUCUCAGUUCUUCAUUUGUAUUAUGGAAAUAACAGUAGUACCCCACUCACUGUUGUGAAGCAUAAAUGAGUCCAUAUUCAUGAAAUGUUUAUAAUGGGCAGAUCCACAAGACCUAAAGAAUCUCCCAAGUUAGGGUCUUCUGUUUUAAUGUAGAAACUUUCCCCAGUGGAGUUUCUAUGUUAUCGAUCAUGUGUCACAUAUACUAACAUAAAAUGUAUAUUAUACUUAUAUAUAUAUAAUGAAUUUAUUUGAAAUGCCAAAACAACUACAGUUUGGGAUACCUGUACUACAUGGUAUAUAUGUGAAUUGAAUUAUGUAGAUAAACCGAUAGCACAUUGGCUCAGUUUGUCAAUCCCAAGGUGUGAACGAGCAUGAAGGAGAACUAUCAACCUCAAACUGGCCAUCUCCUUUGACUUCUGUCCUAGUUCUUUUCUCUAGUCAGGAUAUUCUGCUUACUUUUAGGUAGCUUAUGUUUUCAUGGUCCUAGGAAGACAAUUUACAGAGAUCUUCAAAUUUUAGAUCUUCCUGAUUAGAGGGAAGACCUAAACCACCAAAAACCUAAACAUUUUCUAUAUCUCUUCUCCAGGAUGGAAUAUUAAAUGUACUAAUGUAGUAAUAUUCCACUGUGAACAGAAGUCCCAUUUGCUAUCCUGAAAUAAAACUUACAGAUAAUAUUACCUAUAGAUAUAAUUUCUGAAUAUCAAUAUAUUAUCUAACUCUGAUAUGAAGGAAAGAAUUUAUAUUAGGAUAGUAUAUAUUUCAUUGUGUACAGAUUGGAUGAAAUAGAGGCCUGCACCUAUUCACAGAAUCACUGUGCAUACAACAGCUCCAAAUAUAGCCUGAUACAUGAAUGUCGUAUUUGUGAAUCUAACUCCAUAAGUGGUUUAAUUUUCCUGAAAUGGUGAACAAUUCUUAACAUCUAAAGAAGGAGAAGUAUAUUUCCUUAAUUUUCCAAUAUCUAUCAGCUAUGCAAAAUAUAUUGUAGCUCUAUGUAAUAUAGUGUUAUGUUCUAGCCUAAGGUAACUAUUAACUUUUUUAAAAUUAUUUUUUUUUAAUUUUAAUUUUUAUUUUUUUUUAAGAUUUUAUUAUUUAUUCGUGAUAACACACAGAGGAGACAGAGAGAAAGAGGCAGAGGCACAGGCGGAGGGAAGAAGCAGGCUCCAUGCAGGGAGUCCGACGUGGGACUCGAUCCCGGGGUCUCCAGGGUCACGCCCUGGGAUGAAGGCAGGUGCUAAACUGCUGAGCCACCCAGGGCUGCCCUAUUUAUUUAUUUUUAAAGAUUUUAUUUGUUUAUUCAUGAGAGACACAGAAAGAAUGGCAGAGACACAGCCAGAGGGAGAAGCAGGCUCCAUGCAUGAAGCCUGAUGUGGGACUCCAUCCUGGGACUCCAGGAUCACGCCUUGAGCGGAAGGCAGAUGUUCAACUGCUGAGCCACCCAGGUGUCCCUUAACUUUUUUUUUUAGAGCAGGGGGAGGGGCAAAGAGAGGAGAGAGAGAAUCUUAAGCAGGCUUCAUGCCCAGCACAGAACUUAACACAGGGCUGGAUCUCAUAACCCUUAGAUCAUGACCUGAGCCAAAAUCAAGUGUCAGACACUUAACUGACUGAGCCACCCAGGCGCCCCUAUUAACAACUUUUGAAAGUCAUACAGGAUGAGGAACAUUUUUUUGUUUUGCAGGAAUAUCCAUUAUCCCUGACCCCCACUAAAUUCCAAUAGCACCAUCCAAUCAACAUGACAAUCCCCCAAAAAACCCUCACCAAUUCCCGGAACUCUCCCUGGGAAGUAGUACUACUGCCUUGAGAAUUACUGUAAUAAAAGAAAUAACAGUGAAGUGUCAACAGAGUAAUGAUGGAGAAGCUGAAGUGUCUCUGCUAUAAGAAUGAGGCCAGGGAUCCCUGGGUGGCGCAGCGGUUUGGCGCCUGCCUUUGGCCCAGGGCGCGAUCCUGGAGUCCCGGGAUCGAAUCCCACGUCGGGCUCCCGGUGCAUGGAGCCUGCUUCUCCCUCUGCCUGUGUCUCUGCCUCUAUCUCUCUCUCUCUGUGACUAUCAUAAAAUAAAAAAAAAAAUUAAAAAAAAAAAAAAAAGAAGAAUGAGGCCAGCCAACCUUGUAAGAAGGCAAAUUCCUACUAAGGAAUGAUGGUACCAUAAAGUAUGCAGCUGGAUCUUACUGGAAGGUUCUAUAUAAAUGAGACUUAUUUAGUCUAGUGGUAGGGCU
rnacentral:lncRNA from 1 species